UGUGUCUAAACUGGUCGUUUGCAUAAAUGCGCCGUCAGUUUGAUUAGCGAUGUUUUGAUAAACAAACAGUAACACAUUUAACAAGCAAGCAACAGUGGCAGUGAAACCCAUUAUAGACAUGGUUUCAAAAGGUGCAAACGCGAUGAUUUUCACGCUACUGCUGUGUCUUCAAGUGGCCACCAUCCAGGGUUUUGCUUGUCCAUCGAACUUCUGUGAUGAACAUCCUUGUGUAAGCCAGACUUCUUGUCCGGAAAAUCACACGCUUUCCCAGACGUUUUGUGGCUGUUGCAUGCGGUGUAUUCCAGUGAUUUCUGAAGGUGAACUUUGCUUUGACCAGCUUCGUGGCGUUCCAGCUGGAGCCGUUUGUGCAGAUGGGCUGAUUUGUUGCGACAGCAUCUGCUCAACUCCAGCCAAUUGCACAAGCCAGUUUCACCGAGUUGAAUAUUAAAUUGAAAUUGUUACGUU